AUAAUUAUAAGUAUAUAGAUUCUAUUUCCCGAAGUUGAGGGAGCUAACAGUAACAUAUUAUUAGAAUAAAGAUGUAGCAUAAUUAAUAAUAGUAACAGUUAGGGGUGAUAGGCUUAACACACUCAAUGAUAACUUGAUUCCUCGGAAAUCUAUUUAGUAUGGGGUUAAUUUGUGAGUGAAAAGGCUCACAAAAAAGACAAAAUACUUAUAUUAUUUUUCAAGGUGUAGAGGCUUAUUGAUAUAAUAAUGUUAACAUAAUAAUUAUGGAGGUUUGUUAAAAAUAUGAGGAAAUAUAUUAACAUAGGCGAUAUUUAUAAUGUUAUUAUUAGUAGUAAGUGAAGUGUUUUAAAUGAACUCGGCAAAGAACCCUUUAACUGUUUAUCAAAAACAUAGUCAUAUGGUAAAAUAUAUGGUGUUUUCUGCUCCAUGAGAUAUUUAAAUAGCCGCAGUACAUUGACUGUGCAAAGGUAGCGCAAUCAAUUGACUUUUAAUUGGAGUCCUGUAUGAAAGAAUUAAUAGGGGGUAACUGUCUCGAAGGCAUAUCUGCAAACUUGCUGAGUAAGUGAAAAUUCUUACAUUUAAAUAAUAGACGAGAAGACCCUAGAAAUUUUAAGAAGUGAUCCUAAGUCUUUUUGUUGGGGCAACAUAGUAACAAAUAAUUUACUAAUAAACACGAAAGGCUUGUCUGGUAUGAUUAAAUUACUCUAGGGAUAACAGCAUAAUUUAUGGUAAGUUUGUGACCUCGAUGUUGGAUUAGGGAAUUGAUAUUAAAAG
rnacentral:rRNA from 1 species